rnacentral:tRNA from 1 species
GCGUAGGUGGCACGAGCGGCCAAAGGCACAGACACUGCUAACGUCUGGGUAGAAAUACCAUCAGGGGUUCGAAUCCCCUCUUACGCA